GACGAACGCUGGCGGCGUGCUUAACACAUGCAAGUCGAGCGGUAAGGCCCUUUCGGGGGUACACGAGCGGCGAACGGGUGAGUAACACGUGGGUGACCUGCCCUCCACUCUGGGAUAAGCCCGGGAAACUGGGUCUAAUACCGGAUAGGACACAUGAUCGCAUGGUUGUGUGUGGAAAGUUUUUUCGGUGGGGGAUGGGCCCGCGGCCUAUCAGCUUGUUGGUGGGGUAAUGGCCUACCAAGGCGGUGACGGGUAGCCGGCCUGAGAGGGCGACCGGCCACACUGGGACGGAGACACGGCCCAGACUCCUACGGGAGGCAGCAGUGGGGAAUAUUGCGCAAUGGGCGGAAGCCUGACGCAGCGACGCCGCGUGGGGGAUGACGGCCUUCGGGUUGUAAACCUCUUUCGCCAGGGACGAAGCUUUUGUGACGGUACCUGGAGAAGAAGCACCGGCCAACUACGUGCCAGCAGCCGCCGUAA
rnacentral:rRNA from 1 species